GUACUCGCUUCGGCGGUACAUAUACUAAAAUUGGAACGAUACAGAGAAGAUUAGCAUGGCAUGGCUGUUCUGUAAUCCAUUUCUUUCGUAAAGAGUAAAAUUUUUUU